rnacentral:rRNA from 1 species
UAGGGAAUAUUGCUCAAUGGGCGAAAGCCUGAAGCAGCAACGCCGCGUGUGUGAUGAAGGCCUUCGGGUCGUAAAGCACUUUUCUGGGAGAUGAGAAAGGACAGUAUCCCAGGAAUAAGUCUCGGCUAACUACGUGCCAGCAGCCGCGGUAAAACGUAGGAGGCGAGCGUUAUCCGGAUUCACUGGGCGUAAAGCGCGUGCAGGUGGCGCGGUAAGUUGGGCGUGAAAUCUCCCGGCUCAACUGGGAGAGGUCGUCCAAUACUACCGUGCUUGAGAGCAGAAGAGGAAGAUGGAAUUCCCGGUGUAGUGGUGAAAUGCGUAGAUAUCGGGAGAACACCAGUGGCGAAGGCGAUCUUCUGGUCUGUUUCUGACACUCAGACGCGACAGCUAGGGUAGUAAACGGGAUUAGAGACCCCGGUAAUCCUAGCCGUAAACGAUGUGAACUUGGCGUUGGUGGGUUAAACUCCAUCAGU